AAGGAUUUAAGUUAAAAAAAACUUUUAACCUUCAAAGUUAAAAAUAGAGGUUUUCUAAGCCUUA
rnacentral:tRNA from 1 species